rnacentral:SRP_RNA from 2 species
CCGUGCUAGACGGGGAGUUAGCGGUGCCCUGUAACCCGCAAUCCGCUAUAGCGGGGUUGAAGCCUAUCCGAGGGUGUUCCUUCUUGAGGCCGGCCGGCAAGGGCAGCGUUGAAGGCCGGGUCCUGCGCAAUGGGAACCCGUGAACCCCGUCAGGUCCGGGAGGAAGCAGCGGUAAGCGGUUAUUCUCAUGUGCCGCAGGGGUUCCUGGCUGGAGCCAGCCAUGCAGGUAUCGCUCGGGGAGGGCAUUCGAAGAUAGGUGCACGG